rnacentral:rRNA from 1 species
AGAUUGAACGCUGGCGGCAUGCCUUACACAUGCAAGUCGAACGGCAGCACGGGGGCAACCCUGGUGGCGAGUGGCGAACGGGUGAGUAACAUAUCGGAACGUGCCCUGGAGUGGGGGAUAACUAGUCGAAAGAUUAGCUAAUACCGCAUACGAUCUACGGAUGAAAGUGGGGGAUCGCAAGACCUCAUGCUCGUGGAGCGGCCGAUAUCUGAUUAGCUAGUUGGUGGGUAAAGGCCUACCAAGGCAUCGAUCAGUAGCUGGUCUGAGAGGACGACCAGCCACACUGGGACUGAGACACGGCCCAGACCUCCGUACGGGAGGCAGCAGUGGGGAAUUUUGGACAAGUGGGCGCAAGCCUGACUCCGAGCAAUGCCGCGUGAGUAGAAGGAACGGUCCGUUGGGUUACGUAAAGUCGUUCUUUUUGUACGAAGGGAAGUAAACGGUGGAAGGACUUAAGUAC